GGCUGGGAGGGCGAUCUGGCUGCGACAUUCGUCACCCCACUGAUCACCACGGUUGAUUCAGCCAAUCUGGCUGGCCAGGCGGGGGUCCCCUUCCUCCCUCACUGCUCCAGGUACAUCCCUCCUGAAGCUGCGCAAUCCGUCAAAGAGGACGACCUUCCCCAAUAGAGGAGAGGACCGUUCUUCGGUCAAGGGUAGAAGGGUAGCCAUGCUCCCAUCCAGAGUCUCCAAAUAAGCUCUCAAGGUCCAUCUGUAGGAGAAUGGAGGGCAGUCAAGCUUCUAAGACUCCAGACACGUCCAAAGGGAGGCGCUGCAUGGGGCCAAUUGCCUAUGAGU
rnacentral:snRNA from 1 species